CACCUAUCGCUGCCGUUUGAACGUGCAACGUGCCUCCACAGGCGCGUGUGUUUCCACACCUAGUGUCUAGUGGUGGCACUGUUUGGGGAGGCAUGGAACUUUCAGGAAGUGGAGCCUAGUUGGGAGGAAGUGAAUCACUGGGUAGUAGUGUUGAAGGCUGUAGCCCAGCAGGGAGAUAGGAGCAAGGAUCAUCACCAUCUCCGUCCGCCAUAGUCAUCGGCCAUUCCUACCACCACGCCUUCCCCAGAAGACGUACAGCUUCCCCUUACACCUGAGCCAAAUGAACCCUCUCCUUCCUCAAGUUGCUUUAGCGAGGUGACAAAAGUAACUAAUCCCCGUCCCAGAGUGAACAAACUUCACUGUUGGUUCCCCAACAUGAUAACCCCUUCCUCAGGACUUUCCUACAAGACUCUGUGUGUCACAGCUUGGCCCAUCCGUUUGGGGCUUAUGGAAGAAAAUGAAUGAAUACGCAAGGAAGUAAUUAAUGAAAAAAAUAAGAGACUCUACUUUUGGGUCAACUGUAGGAUGGGGAGAAAAAGUGUGACGCGAAAGACACAUGCUAGACGGGAUAACCUCCGGGUUGAGUGGUCCCAUGCUCUGCAUAACUGAGCUGCACCCAAAGGACUGGCCACUUCCAAGCCACGGCGCGUCACCUCCAGAAGCAAAGCCUCCCUCCAGAUUAAACUGCUGAAGAGGUCAAAAUUAUAGUCCAUGCCACCAACAACUCAUCUGCGAUGUCUACCAUUACACCUCCUUAUACUGUCCCACA